GUCGACUCAGUGGUCCCGGAAAAUGACAUCGACCUCCCUUCCUUGGCGGAUACCUUGUGGUUCCCGCCUCAAGGCUUUACGGUGAUCCGUGUUUUGACUUUCAAUACAAUGUCUGCUGGGUGAUGGCAGAGGUCUGCCGAUCCACCUCUCUAGCUCCCAGCCAGUUCACUUCCUGACCAUUCUCUUCAAGUCCUUUUCAACCUAUCAGGGUCGGAGGUCUUUGGCGAGAUGGUUCUUGGUGUUUAUCGCCCGGUUGAGGUGGCUCCUAGGUGCUGCCGGUACA
rnacentral:lncRNA from 1 species